UAGUUAGCUCAGUUGGUAGAGCGCACGACUCUUAAUCGUGUUGUCGUGGGUUCAAUCCCCACACU
rnacentral:ncRNA from 16 species